rnacentral:tRNA from 1 species
GACGAGGUGGCCGAGUGGUUAAGGCGUUGGACUGCUAAUCCAAUGGGAUCUUCCCGCGUGAGUUCGAAUCUCAUCCUCGUCG